rnacentral:rRNA from 1 species
AUUGAACGCUGGCGGCAUGCUUUACACAUGCAAGUCGAACGGUAACAGGUUAAGCUGACGAGUGGCGAACGGGUGAGUAAUGCAUCGGAACGUGCCCGAUCGUGGGGGAUAACGCAGCGAAAGCUGCGCUAAUACCGCACACGAUCUGAGGAUGAAAGCGGGGGACCGUAAGGCCCCGCGCGAUCGGAGCGGCCGAUGUCAGAUUAGGUAGUUGGUGGGGUAAAGGCCCACCAAGCCGACGAUCUGUAGCUGGUCUGAGAGGACGACCAGCCACACUGGGACUGAGACACGGCCCAGACUCCUACGGGAGGCAGCAGUGGGGAAUUUUGGACAAUGGGCGCAAGCCUGAUCCAGCAAUGCCGCGUGCAGGAAGAAGGCCUUCGGGUUGUAAACUGCUUUUGUCAGGGAAGAAAUCCUCUAGGUUAAUACCCUUGGGGGGAUGACGGUACCUGAAGAAUAAGCACCGGCUAACUACGUGCCAGCAGCCGCGGUAAGAC